rnacentral:rRNA from 1 species
GAUGAACGCUGGCGGCGUGCUUAACACAUGCAAGUCGAACGGAAAGGCUCCUGCUUGCAGGGGUACUCGAGUGGCGAACGGGUGAGUAACACGUGGGUGAUCUGCCCUGCACUUCGGGAUAAGCCUGGGAAACUGGGUCUAAUACCGGAUAGGACGAUGGUUUGGAUGCCAUUGUGGAAAGUUUUUCGGGGUGGGAUGAGCUCGCGGCCUAUCAGCUUGUUGGUGGGGUAAUGGCCUACCAAGGCGUCGACGGGUAGCCGGCCUGAGAGGGUGUAAGGCCACAUUGGGACUGAGAUACGGCCCAGACUCCUACGGGAGGCAGCAGUGGGGAAUAUUGCACAAUGGGCGCAAGCCUGAUGCAGCGACGCCGCGUGGGGGAUGACGGCCUUCGGGUUGUAAACUCCUUUCGCUAGGGACGAAGCGCAAGUGACGGUACCUGGAGAAGAAGCACCGGCUAACUACGUG